UACGAAGGGGGCUAGCGUUGCUCGGAAUGACUGGGCGUAAAGGGCGCGUAGGCGGCUUGCACCGUCAGAUGUGAAAUUCCUGGGCUUAACCUGGGGGCUGCAUUUGAUACGUGUGGGCUUGAGUGCGGAAGAGGGUCGUGGAAUUCCCAGUGUAGAGGUGAAAUUCGUAGAUAUUGGGAAGAACACCAGUGGCGAAGGCGGCUACCUGGACCGGUUCUGACGCUGAGGCGCGAAAGCGUGGGUAGCAAACAGG
rnacentral:rRNA from 1 species